rnacentral:rRNA from 1 species
UGUAACACGGGCGCGGAUGCCGAGGUAAUACGGUGGAGCCAACCGUUAACCGGAAUCAGUGGGUUUAAAGGGUUCGUAGGCGGCCUUAUAAGUCAGCGGUGAAAGGUUUUGGCUUAACCAAAAAAUUGCCAUUGAUACUGUAGGGCUUGAAUUAUUGUGAAGUAACUAGAAUAUGUAGUGUAGCGGUGAAAUGCUUAGAUAUUACAUGGAAUACCAAUUGCGAAGGCAGGUUACUAACAAUGGAUUGACGCUGAUGGACGAAAGCGUGGGUAGCGAACAGGAUUAGAUACCCCUGUAGUC